CUUGAUACCCCUACACCACCUGGGUUCUGAGCUACCAACGAGCUUGAAACCACCAACAUCUUACUAACAGGUUAACAGUCCAUAUUGAAACAGCCAACUCACUACUCUUGCUCUACGCUUCCUUAAGCAGGCCUGUUACCCCCUUAACUUUCCUUCCACUAGCCUGCCACAAGCUCAGACCUUGACCCCUUAAGCCGUCUGAGCUCUGCCACCCAGAAGAAAUAGAGCCUUGGCCAAACCCUCCUGAGCGCCCAAAUUAAAUAAAUCGAUCCCCACCUCUGAGAGGUGCACCCCAUCAUCUCUGAAGUACCCUGGUAGCAUGUCCUCUAGUUCCCUGUGCCAAACUACCACCCCACCCAGCUUCC